rnacentral:rRNA from 1 species
GAGUUUGAUCAUGGCUCAGAUUGAACGCUGGCGGCAGGCCUAACACAUGCAAGUCGAGCGGUAGAGAGAAGCUUGCUUCUCUUGAGAGCGGCGGACGGGUGAGUAAUGCCUAGGAAUCUGCCUGGUAGUGGGGGAUAACGCUCGGAAACGGACGCUAAUACCGCAUACGUCCUACGGGAGAAAGCAGGGGACCUUCGGGCCUUGCGCUAUCAGAUGAGCCUAGGUCGGAUUAGCUAGUUGGUGAGGUAAUGGCUCACCAAGGCGACGAUCCGUAACUGGUCUGAGAGGAUGAUCAGUCACGCUGGAACUGAGACACGGUCCAGACUCCUACGGGAGGCAGCAGUGGGGAAUAUUGGACAAUGGGCGAAAGCCUGAUCCAGCCAUGCCGCGUGUGUGAAGAAGGUCUUCGGAUUGUAAAGCACUUUAAGUUGGGAGGAAGGGCAGUAAAUUAAUACUUUGCUGUUUUGACGUUACCGACAGAAUAAGCACCGGCUAACUCUGUGCCAG